AGUGAACGCUGGCGGUAGGCCUAACACAUGCAAGUCGAACGGCAGCACAGUAAGAGCUUGCUCUUACGGGUGGCGAGUGGCGGACGGGUGAGGAAUACAUCGGAAUCUACUUUUUCGUGGGGGAUAACGUAGGGAAACUUACGCUAAUACUGCAUACGACCUACGGGUGAAAGCAGGGGAUCUUCGGACCUUGCGCGAUUGAAUGAGCCGAUGUCGGAUUAGCUAGUUGGCGGGGUGACGGCCCACCAAGGCGACGAUCCGUAGCUGGUCGGAGAGGAUGAUCAGCCACACUGGAACUGAGACACGGUCCAGACUCCUACGGGAGGCAGCAGUGGGGAAUAUUGGACAAUGGGCGCAAGCCGGAUCCAGGCAGACCGGGUGGGUGAAGAAGGACUGCGGGUUGUAAAGCCCUUUUGUUGGGAAAGAAAAGCAGCAGGUUAACACCCCGCUGUUCUGACGGUACCCAAAGAAGAAGCGCCGGCUAACUUCGUG
rnacentral:rRNA from 1 species